rnacentral:rRNA from 1 species
CUCGCCGGAAGACCAAGGGUUCCUGUCCAACGUUAAUCGGGGCAGGGUGAGUCGACCCCUAAGGCGAGGCCGAAAGGCGUAGUCGAUGGGAAACGGGUUAAUAUUCCCGUACUUGGUGUUACUGCGAAGGGGGGACGGAGAAGGCUAUGUUGGCCGGGCGACGGUUGUCCCGGUUUAAGCGUGUAGGUGUGUGUUCCAGGUAAAUCCGGUUCACUUUAACACUGAGGCGUGACGACGAGGCACUACGGUGCUGAAGCAACAAAUGCCCUGCUUCCAGGAAAAGCCUCUAAGCAUCAGGUAACAUCAAAUCGUACCCCAAACCGACACAGGUGGUCAGGUAGAGAAUACCAAGGCGCUUGAGAGAACUCGGGUGAAGGAACUAGGCAAAAUGGUGCCGUAACUUCGGGAGAAGGCACGCUGACACGUAGGUGAAGUGAUUUACUCAUGGAGCUGAAGUCAGUCGAAGAUACCAGCUGGCUGCAACUGUUUAUUAAAAACACAGCACUGUGCAAACACGAAAGUGGACGUAUACGGUGUGACGCCUGCCCGGUGCCGGAA